GACGAACGCUGGCGGCGUGCUUAACACAUGCAAGUCGAACGGAAAGGCCCUGCUUGCAGGGUACUCGAGUGGCGAACGGGUGAGUAACACGUGGGUGAUCUGCCCUGCACUUCGGGAUAAGCCUGGGAAACUGGGUCUAUUACCGGAUAGGUGCCAUGUUUAGUGUGAUGGUUGGAAAGUUUUUUCGUUGUAUGAUGAGCUCGCGGCCUAUCAGCUUGUUGGUGGUGUAAUGGCCUACCAAGGCGGCGACGGGUAGCCGGCCUGAGAGGGUGGACGGCCAAAUUGGGACUGAGAUGCUGCCGAUGCUCCUACGGGUGGCAUCGAUGAGGAAGAAUGCACAAUGGGCGAAGGCCUGAUGCAGAGGCGCCUCGUGGGUGAUGACGGCCUUCGGGUGGUAAAAACCUUUCGCUAGGGACGAAGCGUUUUGUGACGGUACCUAGCUAAAAAGCACCGGCUAACUACGUG
rnacentral:rRNA from 1 species